rnacentral:rRNA from 1 species
AUUGAACGCUGGCGGCAGGCCUAACACAUGCAAGUCGAGCGGAUGAAGGGAGCUUGCUCCUGGAUUCAGCGGCGGACGGGUGAGUAAUGCCUAGGAAUCUGCCUGGUAGUGGGGGACAACGUUUCGAAAGGAACGCUAAUACCGCAUACGUCCUACGGGAGAAAGCAGGGGACCUUCGGGCCUUGCGCUAUCAGAUGAGCCUAGGUCGGAUUAGCUAGUUGGUGAGGUAAUGGCUCACCAAGGCGACGAUCCGUAACUGGUCUGAGAGGAUGAUCAGUCACACUGGAACUGAGACACGGUCCAGCCUCCUACGGGAGGCAGCAGUGGGGAAUAUUGGACAAUGGGCGAAAGCCUGAUCCUGCCAUGCCGCGUGUGUGAAGAAGGUCUUCGGAUUGUAAAGCACUUUAAGUUGGGAGGAAGGGUUGUAGAUUAAUACUCUGCAAUUUUGAUGUUACCGACAGAAUAAGCACCGGCUAACUCUGUGCCAGCCGCCGCCGUAACAC